CUUAUAAAGGCCCAUAAGUAACGAUAAAACCUCCAAGACACACACACCCCUGACCCCUCCAAAGCAAAGAAACAAACCCUAGCCGCGUUAUCAAUGGCCGAGUCCUCAAACAAAACCUGGCGACGCCGGCGGAACGUGACUAGGCCCAGAAAAGCAAAGAAACAAACCCUACCGGCGUUAUCAGAGUCAGAAUCACUGCGAGGAGGCCGGAACUGGAUUGACCUUCCGGACGACGUCACCGCUUCGAUUCUGUCACGGCUGUCAAUGUUCGACAUCCUGGAGAGGGCUCAGAAGGUGUGCCUGACGUGGCGCAGAAUCUGUAAGGACCCUAUGACUUGGCGCGCCAUCCACAUGGAGUUCCAUAUUCAUCUGCGCCAACAAAAAAUUGAAGGAAAUUUCACUUCCGCCAAAAGAAAAAAGCAUCUGCGCAAAUUCCACAACUUCAAUGUACAUAAGAUGUGCCACCACGCCAUUGAUCUUAGCUGUGGCAAUCUCGUAGAUAUCAGUAUCCGGAACUGUGGCACAGAUGAGCUCCUUGAGCAUAUGACUGAUAGGGGAAUCGCAAACACCAUGUACAAAGUCACGAAACCGAAAACGAAAUGCUCCUUGUUGCACAUGUCCUGAUCCCAAACCCCGACGCCCUGCCAAAACUAGGAAACCUCCUCUACCAGAGGGAUAUGAUUAUGUUCCUCUGGCAACUUGCCUGGAUAAGAAUGGUAGCUACUUUCCAAGAUUUUCUGAUCGUGUUGCUUACAUGUCUUGUCUCCGUUGUGGUAUGAAUGGCGACCACUGGGAUCCAUUUUUCCCGAACUCGAUCAAUGAUCCGCCAGACUCAGGAGAAGCUGCUCCUGCCCGUAAGUCGUCGUGGAAGUACUAUAUAUUGAGGAAUUUCAAUCUGAAAGAAUAUCUUGACAAAAAGAUUAAGACUCAAGGGAAACCAGAACCACCACGUAAGAAGGCAGUGAAAUCAAAAGCUCCUGCAUGUCCAAUCCAUUGCCGAAACUAAACCCGUGCUAGAACUGAGAAGCCUACUUGACCACAGGCUGCUGCUGCCAGUAAGUUGUCGUACGUGGAAGUAUAUAUUGAGCGGUUUCAAACUUUCAAUCAAAAUUCAAUUAAAUUCCUUAUUUAAAUAUGAAGUAGUCCACUAAAUAUUUUUGCUUGUUAUUUGACUUCCCCUGUUAUUACUCUUUUUGUAGCUAUGCAACCACAGUUUCUCAAAGUGUACUUUCUCAGCCUAAUCUGCUUUCUAAAACUCGGUUGCUUGGUGAAAUUGGGAAUUCUUGUUUCAUGUUGGGUUAAAUUGCCUGUAAGCACAUGUGGUGUUCAUAUAAUCUCCCCAGUACAUGAAAACAAGGAAGAACAUUAUUAAGAAUCUAGCACUAUUAUUCGUAUUUUUCAUUGAAAACCCAUUUUUUGCUCUUGUUUGUCAUGCUAUAAUCAUCAAUCUUUGUUUUCAUCAUGCUUUUACAGUACAUCACAUGAUAGAAAAUCAAUGUGCUAGAGCUUCGCAAACUCUACUGUGUAGUGUCUGAGAUCUGUUGUUAUAUGUUUC